GAUGAACGCUGGCGGCGUGCUUAACACAUGCAAGUCGAACGGGAAUUACUUUAUUGAAACUUCGGUCGAUAUGAUUUAAUUCUAGUGGCGGACGGGUGAGUAACGCGUGGGUAACCUGCCUUAUACAGGGGGAUAACAGUCAGAAAUGACUGCUAAUACCGCAUAAGCGCACAGAGCUGCAUGGCUCGGUGUGAAAAACUCCGGUGGUAUAAGAUGGACCCGCGUUGGAUUAGCUAGUUGGUGAGGUAACGGCCCACCAAGGCGACGAUCCAUAGCCGGCCUGAGAGGGUGAACGGCCACAUUGGGACUGAGACACGGCCCAGACUCCUACGGGAGGCAGUAGUGGGGAAUAUUGCACAAUGGGGGAAACCCUGAUGCAGCGACGCCGCGUGAAGGAAGAAGUAUCUCGGUAUGUAAACUUCUAUCAGCAGGGAAGAAAAUGACGGUACCUGACUAAGAAGCCCCGGCUAACUACGUGCCAGCAGCCGCGGUAAUACGUAGGGGGCAAGCGUUAUCCGGAUUUACUGGGUGUAAAGGGAGCGUAGACGGAUGGACAAGUCUGAUGUGAAAGGCUGGGGCUCAACCCCGGGACUGCAUUGGAAACUGCCCGUCUUGAGUGCCGGAGAGGUAAGCGGAAUUCCUAGUGUAGCGGUGAAAUGCGUAGAUAUUAGGAGGAACACCAGUGGCGAAGGCGGCUUACUGGACGGUAACUGACGUUGAGGCUCGAAAGCGUGGGGAGCAAACAAGAUUAGAUACCCUGGUAGUCCACGCGGUAAACGA
rnacentral:rRNA from 1 species